UGUCAUGGAGUUGCUCUUCAAA
rnacentral:miRNA from 1 species